rnacentral:rRNA from 1 species
AACGAACGCUGGCGGCAGGUCUUAGGCAUGCAAGUCGAACGGGUGAAGCAGAGCUUGCUCUGUGGAUCUAGUGGCGCACGAGUGAGUAACGCGUGGGAAACUGCCCACCACUGGGGAAUAACGUUUGGAAACGAACGCUAAUACCGCAUACGCCGGAAACGGGAAAGAUUUAUCGGUGGUGGAUGUGCCCGCGUUGGAUUAGCUUGUUGGUGGGGUAACGGCCUACCAAGGCGAUGAUCCAUAGCUGGUCUGAGAGGACGAUCAGCCACGCUGGAACUGAGACACGGUCCAG